rnacentral:rRNA from 1 species
GACGAACCGUGCGAACGUUGUUCGGAAUCUCUGGGCGUAAAGCGCACGUAGGCGGAUUUGUCAGUCAGGGGUGAAAUCCCGGGGCUCAACCUCGGAACUGCCUUUGAUACAGCAAGUCUUGAGUUCGAGAGAGGUGGGUGGAAUUCCUAGUGUAGAGGUGAAAUUCGUAGAUAUUAGGAAGAACACCGGUGGCGAAGGCGGCCCACUGGCUCGAUACUGACGCUGAGGUGCGAAAGCGUGGGGAGCAAACAGG